ACGAAGUUAAUUAAUAUAAUUAUAUCCCAAAGUGGGUAAUUUUGGUUCGGUUUUCAAAAGAAAAACCAAGAGAAAAAUCACUAAAUCCCACAAAAAGCCCGCAUUUUUCUUUGAGUUUUCGAAAAUUUAACAACUACCCAUUUGUUUUUGGCCAAUUGGGUACUCAUUUCUCGCCCGAUCCAGAUUACUUUCUCCAACCACUGGUUCAGGGGUCUUCGGUUUUGGAGUUUUAAAGAAGAGUGCUUUCAAUUUGAGUAAUUUGUCUUUUUGGCAAUGAGUUAGCUUUCGUGGAAUUUAUAAUGGAAAUGGUGGCUGAAGAUGAUGAGAAUUGGCCUUUUUGAUAGAUGAGGGAGGUCGUUGAGAAAACACUAGGAAAUGAGUCGAUCUCCUUCGUUUUCUGUGAAGCCGGAGCUUAGUGUGAAACCUGACCCGGAUUCUUUGCAACGAUGGGUUGUUGCCUUUUGCAUCAUUAGAUUUGAUCUCGAACAAGGUCAGCUAAUAGAAGAGUGUUAUCCACCUGGUUGUCUCACUCAAGAAGAGGAACUUGAGGUUGCUUUUAGUUCCUUUCCGGAUUCUGUUUCUCAGCACCAGAACCGCUCCAGCAUUCAUGAUUGCAUCUUCUUUUUCCGGUUUCGGAGGCAUAAAAAUACAAAGCAGGGUAAUGUGACUUCGUCGGAAAUAACAGAAAUUGAUGAUAAAGAUACAACAUCAACACCUAAAGAGGAGAAAGUGAUUAGGAGGUUGAGAAGUAGUGGUAAAGGUUCAAGACACUUGUAUGGUUAUGUGUUUAAUAGACAAAGGCAUGAUGAGAGGCUAAAACGAGGUGGGGAACAAAAAUCUGUAGUAAUAUUGUCUCAUGGACCUUACUCUAGCGUGUUUAGACCUUUGUUACAAAUCAUGGGUCCUCUUUACUUUGAUAUAGGAAAAAAAGCUAUUGAGCAUAUUGCUGGUUAUGUUUCCUUGUGGCCUACUCCUGUACCUGGUAAGCUAAUGGAGCUUCCAAUUGGGAAUGCAAUGCUCAAAGUUAACUUGCCACCUGCCCACAGCUUGCCUUUGGAAAGUGGAAUAGCAUAUGAAGAGUCUGCUUCAUCUAUGGCUCCUUUUCUUCCUAAUAAUCAAUCAGUCCCACAAGGUCUAUUUCACGAUUCCGAUCUUUUCGGAACAUUCAAAGGGCUUUUGUUACAACUUUGGUUAUUGUGGGAGUUGUUACUUAUUGGUGAGCCGAUUCUUGUCAUAGCACCAACACCACCACAGUGCUGUGAGGCUGUGGCCAGUCUCGUCAGCUUAGUUGCACCUUUACUUUACAGUGUUGACUUUAGGCCGUAUUUUACUAUCCAUGAUCCUGAAUUUGCUCAGCUGAACUCUCUUCAAGAAGGGGACAAAUAUCCGCCUAUGGUUUUGGGUGUCACAAAUCUUUUUUUCCUCAAAGCUCUUCGUAAUAUCCCCCACAUAGUAUCAGUUGGAAGCCCUGCACCUAAUUCAAGUCGGGUUGCCCUUGCAAGUAGGUCCAGUGGCAGAAUUCCUGGUAAACCAGAAGGAUUUGGUCUUCAACAGCUUUCCUUGAAGAAGUUCUCUCCUUCUAAUUUGUUGAAUGCUGUGAAGCUGAGGAGAGAUGGUCCUCUUUGUCUCAUGACAGAACAUAAGGAGGCUAUUUGGAGCACUUAUGCUGCAACUACAAAGCCAGACACUUCUAUCUUGAAUAGGCUUAUUGAUGCUGGGAUGUCACCAAGGGUUGAGGAAUCUAUGUCUGUUGUUAAUAAUGAGAUCUUACGUCGACAUUUCUUGGAGCUCACUACCAACUUCUUGGCUCCUUUUGGACCAUAUUUUAGGGCUACCACUCCUCCUGAAGGAUCUUCACCUUUUGCUGAUCCCCCUCCUCUACCUCCAUUUAAUGCUGAUGAAUUCCUUAUGAGCUUGUCAGCAAGGGGUGUGGGCAAGUUUCUUUCGAAGCGUAUGAGAUCUAACUGGCUGGAUCUGUAUAGGCGUUUUCUUAAAGGGCCUAACUUUCUGCCAUGGUUUCAAAGACGACAUGCUGUUGCUGAAAAUGAACAACAUAGAUUAUGGAGGCAGGCAAGAAUGAAGACUGACAUACAUCACCUGAUAUCUAAAAUGCCUGAAUUGGAAGUUGUUGACUGCUUCAAUGCUAUUGAGAGACAUCUUCUUGGAGAAAUACAGUUACAGCAAUCUGGAAGGGCUGUAGCAGACUCUGCAGCAAUGUGCCAGAAACUGAAGGGUGAUCUACAGACUGUGUUCAAUUUACUUCCAAAGGAUAUGCAGCAGCUUCUGCUUUUGAACCCACAGAGGGCAGCUCUUCUACAGGGAAAUUCAAGUCCAGAAUUGACAAAACUUCCUGGCCGCCCUUCAAUACAAGUUGGGGUUAUAUCCUCCAAUUCACCAAGAUAACACAAAGCAUGGCGGAAUCGGGUUGGCUCUGGUAAUGAGUAUUGAGGGUAUUAACUUGCUUCUAGAGAAAGGCAUGACCUUUGAUUUUCUUGUAGCUUCCUCUGCUUGGUGGGAUGGAGAAUCCCCCAACAUUUGGCAUAAUUGUUCAUAUAGAUGUGUGAGAAUCAGAACCUGUCUUGAAUCCACCCAGUUCUUCAGCAAUCUGAGAUAAUUUAUUUGCACAAUCUAGAAACAAAUUAGAAAAAAAAAAUUUAUGGAUAUUGCUAUGUUGUCUUUCUAAUGGGAAGUUGAAGAUUCAUGUUGCUUUCAUUCAUAAGGAACCAUGCGUAAGCUACUGUAUCCGUCGGCAGGUCACUAAGACUUGAACUCCCAUCUCAGCAUUUCUUUUUUCAAUCUUUAUGGUUGCACUUUCUUGUUUUUGGUCAAGAGGUAUGAGCUUUCUUCAGUUUCUUUAUUUCUUCUGUUUAUGAUCAUUGAUUUGAAAGACCUCUAUUCAAUAUGAUCAGAACAUAUAGAGUUUCAAAAAGCUACUGAUACAUUUGUGGCAAAAUUCCUGGAAGAAUUGUGUGACCCUGUGUUUUAUUCUGUUAUAUAUGAUCCCAUCAAUGGGUUUCUUAUUUA